GGGGCUGUAGCUCAGUUGGCUAGAGCGAUCGGCUGGCAGCCGGUAGGUCGAGGGUUCGAGUCCCUCCAGCUCCA
rnacentral:tRNA from 1 species